ensembl:lncRNA
UAAACAGGAAUUUGAAAUUGCAAUACUCCCAUGGUCCUCAGUGUACACUAAAACAAUAUGAAGAUAGAUUAAAACAAAAUAAAAAUAAAAGUCUUAUGUACAACAUUUUAUCUUUAUUUUUUAUUUUAAUUUAUUUUAAAAAAUUUUAAAAAAUUCAUUUUAUGAAAUAAAGAAUUGGAGCAAACUAUAGGUUCUCAAGUUCUCAAAGGUAUUGGCAUGCAGGUUGAGAAAAGUGAUUGAUCAAGCAGUAUAUGUUGAUCAGUCCUAUUGUAUUUCUGGCAGAUCAAUAAAAGAUAGCAAUUUAUUGGGCAUUCAUUUUGGUCUGAGUUCCCUCAACCAAGGAAAGGCAUUUGAUCAGGUAGAGCACCACUGUCUCUGGAAUACUGUCGUGUUCAAGUUUUUUCAGAAGAAAUUCAGGAGGACUAUCUGUUUAAAAAUAUUUAAAUUCCUUUGGCAGUUAUCAUUCGUGAUGUGUAAGCAUGCUGCCAAACCCUCUGCAAUCUAUGUCACCAAUAAUAUUUCAAAUCCAUACAUAGCACUGUGCAAUGUGCAGUAUUGUAAUGCAGUAUUGUGCAGUGUUGUACUUACUGUAAAGUUGAACUGCAGCUGAAAUGGGCUGUCAGUGGCAGGGCUGAAGGAACUGCUCUGUACAGCCACUUGCCCCCCACUGCGUACCAUUCACUCGCUGCUUUACUCUGCACACUUUAAAUAAAGGAUGUGAGACAUUUUUUUCUUUUUUUCUAGCACUCAGUAUAAUAACACACAUUUACUAUUUCCACCCUGCCACAUGCAAAACUGGUUUUGUCUCUUGGGAGAUCAAGGCGAAUAUCCAGCGGGCUCCUCAGGAUGAACUUUGAAUGAAUUUUGUUGCUUAUUUACCCUGUUUCCACUAGAAAAUUCAUUAUACUUUCUGUCAUUGAUAGGUUCUCCAGUUCUGCUUACUUUAUUACCUAAAAAAGUUUCUUCGACCGCUGAGACUGCUAAACUCAUCGUGAACUCAGUUUAUUUCUGAAGGAUCUUCUGCACAGACCAUGGAGUCAAGGUCAAACCCAGCUCAGCCUAUAAUCACCUAUCAAAUGGCCGAACUGAAAGGCUCAACCAGGAAAUGGAAUCGGCCCUCAGUUGCGUCUCCUGCAGCACUGUCGGUGAUGGACGUAAGGGACAAAGUUUCUGCUGACGUCAAAGACGUUCUUCCGGCUGCAUGACAAGCUUUGCUUUUACAGAAAAUAGACCUGAAAAACUACACUCUACUCUACACACCUCUACACUAAUUUAUCUCAGGACUUUGAAUCCCCCUGAAGAUACUGACAGUGAAACACGUACAUAAUACUCCAGCCUUUCAAGUCUGAUCUUAUUAAGUUCUAUUAACCCUUUAAGACCGGUUGGAGCGGGCACGCUCCGUUUUGCGUAACUAUCUUUAAGAACUAUCUUUGUAGAACUGCACCCACAUAGGCUAGUGCAAUAUAUAUAUAUUUUUUUUUUUUGCAUAUGAAACCAGAGGAGUUGUAGUUACAUCUUAUGCCAUCAACUUGUCCUAGGUCACAGUUUCCUUCCACAUAUAGCUUUGCAAAAAUUGCAUAAAAAGCACUUGCAGCACCAAAAACAUAAUAUUCCAGAAACAUGCUUUGCUGAUCCUGUCAUGGUCUGUGGUGGGUGGCUGGAAUUUCCAUGAGGCUCCUGAAUCCGCCUGGGAUCCACACCUGGGCGGGGCCACCUCCUCCAACUAUUGCACACCCUCAAGUUUCAAGUUCUCUAUGGGAUUUACCUUGUUAACGAAACUUUCUUGUGCUGGAGUUUCUGGGUUCACCUUGGCUAAAACCUUUGGCUCACAUUCUACCCUCGGACUCAGGAUACCGAGCAGUCAGUCUGGAAAUCACUCUGUGCCUCACCUGCCUGCCCUCCUGCCAUCACACUCCAUCUGAAAUCCCCAGAUCACAGGUCAGCCUUUCCACGCCACUCAGCUCCCAUGGACACUCUGUCCCAUGACAGAUCCAAUCAGCUGUUCAUAACACUUCCUACAUUGGAAUAGACGUCAGCGCGAAUUAUCGCAUGUCUGCAAUUACACAGUCGAAACCGGGAGUUACCUAAUUUCUGCGGAAAAUGUAGGGUUUGUUUUUUUCUUCAGGAUCUUAUAAGCCUAUACAGAUGUUUUUAAAAGUCAUAUGUUACUGUAUGCUUUUCUGUAUGGUUUCUGGGAUGCUUAGAACUCCAAUUGCACUGCUGGAAAUGGUUUAUUUUAAUGCAACUUCAAAUCUAGUUUGGGGAGUCAUUCAGUGAGAAACAGUGAAAUGAUUUUCCAUGUAAAAAGGUGGACAGCAGAAACAGAAACAGUGAGAACUAAAAGAGAAACAAAGAGCUUUGGAACAACGAGGCAGCAGGAGGACGGCUGCAGUUUAACAGCUUCAACAGUCACACUUUUCAUUUUAUUGUAAAAUUUACACAAUAGUAAUUGAAGUAGUG